ensembl:lncRNA
GUAACUUGAUGUUUCCAAAUACCCUACCUUUAAGAGAAAUGCUGAAUCUAGAGAACAUGUGACAUGUGACAACGUGUGUAUUUUUGAGCACAUUGGGAUUGUAACAUUAUUAUAGUUUUUGGUUAUUUCAUGUAUUUACUUUGGCUCGUUGGGAGCCCACUUGCUGGUUGGAGGGGUGUGACAGGCAUGGGAAACUCAAGGGCUGCACAUGACCGGUAGGCUGCGACACUAAAUCGACCCCCCCGUGUGCGCGGUGAAGCCUAGCCUGGACCAGUCAGAGCAAGGGGAGCAGAGACUACAGUAGAGUCCCCAGCAGGAGCGUUCCCUCAUUCCCCCGGGAAAUGCGUAGUCGCAAGCGUGUACAAAUAGAAAAAGAGCUUGUUUUUCCUUCGGUUUUUAACUUUUUUCGCUGUUUACUACUCUCUCUGAAGGUUCGAGAGUCCACCUGAUCCUCUCUCUCAAGUGCUCUUGUUCUCUCUCUCUCUCUCUCUCUCUCUCUCUCUCUCUCUCUCUCUCUCUCUCUCUCUCUCUCUCUCUUCCCUCUCUCUCUCGUUCCCUCUCUCUGCUCACCUGGAUCAAGGAAUGGUCUUUCAAAAGUUCCUCUUCUGAACCACUCCCCAAGAUUUCUUGUCUUUUUUUUUUUGCGAUUGCUAUUAUUUUUUUCUAACAAUCGUUGUAAAAAGUUUUUUUUAUUUCUGGAUCUGGAUUCGACCAUGCAUCUUUCUACGGAGCACAAGAUUGAGCUAGGACUGACAGAACAAGGCAUGGACAACCUUGCCUUCGCCUGGUCCCAGGGUUUUUUGUCACUGCUUGAGAGGAGAACAGAGGCAUUAAGGGCAUGCAUAAAAGCCGUGGCAGGACGGCGAAAUGGGCUUGGACCAAAGCGUGCACCGACACAGGAAUUCCAAUUUAGGCUAUAGUUCAUGUUGCGAUGUAUCAAAGCUGAUUUAAGCUUGGAGCAAACUGUAAAUAAAUAAAAAUGUAGGCCUAGUUACAAUUAUGGAUCAUCA